rnacentral:rRNA from 1 species
UACGUAGGGUGCGAGCGUUGUCCGGAAUUAUUGGGCGUAAGGAGCUCGUAGGCGGUCUGUCGCGUCGGAUGUGAAAGCCCGGGGCUUAACUCCGGGUCUGCAUUCGAUACGGGCAGACUAGAGUGUGGUAGGGGGAGAUCGGAAUUCCUGGUGUAGCGGUGAAAUGCGCAGAUAUCAGGAGGAACACCGGUGGCGAAGGCGGGAUCUCUGGGC